GCCUGGGUGGCUCAGUUGGUUGAGCGUCUGACUUCAGCUCAGGUCACGAUCUCGCGGUCCGUGAGUUCGAGCCCCGCGUCGGGCU
rnacentral:tRNA from 1 species